UACAGAGGGUGCGAGCGUUAAUCGGAAUUACUGGGCGUAAAGCGCACGUAGUCGGCUUUGCAAGUCGGUUGUGAAAUCCCCGGGCUCAACCUGGGAACUGCAUCCGAGACUGCAUUGCUAGAGUAUGGGAGAGGAAAGCGGAAUUUCUGGUGUAGCAGUGAAAUGCGUAGAUAUCAGAAGGAACAUCAGUGGCGAAGGCGACUUACUGGACACAUACUGACGCUGAGGUGCGAAAGCGUGGGGAGCAAACAGG
rnacentral:rRNA from 1 species